AAGCUGCAAAGAGCUCCUUUUCUCCCGCCUCUCAGCUGAUCGGCGGGUGGGCGGGGCUUCCACGGAGGCCUCGUGUAGGCCUCUGUGGAGCCUGAACUCGAGUAGGGCCCAAGCCAGCCAGGAAGGAGGAGGCAGCUAGAGUGGCCACCACUGUUCUCUGCAGCAGAAGACCCCCUGCUGCCAGCUACAGGUCCACUCCCCACUGGUCUACCAGUGUGGCCCCAGCUACCCUUAUGAUUGGCAGAAAGUUUGGACAAAACUGCCUCAGCUUGGCACUCCAUGUCAGGACACUGUUUUACAUCAACGUGAUGAACAUGCAAAGAGUGUGAUGAGACAGUAAACUGAUCGAUGCAGGUGAGCCUCUAUACUAUCAUUGAAAGUGGGUGACAUGGUUCUAGUGAAAAACCUUUGGCCUUGGAGCAAACUAACUGCCCUUUUAUCCUGCACCAUAUUAAAUAACACUGAUGAAAGGUACCAUGAUCACAGCCCAGAGGGGUAAAUUCACCAGAAAUGUAUCUCACUUCAAACCAGUACAGAGCACACAUAAGACUUCAUGCUCAGAUGAUGAAGACUCCAUACCCAGUGACAAUGUCAUCCCAUCCAGCGCUCCUGAUCCAGAAGUGUCUGCAAUGCCAUUCAUGUUACCCACAAGGAUCAAUCGUCAAACUCCAGACUAUUUGCAGGACUAUACCACAUAGCAGUAGCUAUGUGGACCAACUUUUGAUCUGUGUUCUUACUUUAUGUGUAUAGUUUUAUGUUCCGAAUUUUGUUAGUAUUUUGAUGGGACUGGUCUUUUAUUUGUGGGGGAAGGAGGGAUGUGAUUUUUUUGUUGUUAACCCAUUUCUUGAUCCAAGCCAGCUUUUGAAUGGUGCUUUAGUUACUUUUAUUCCAGUCCUGGAACAGAGGCGGGGCUAACAAACAGCCAGCAGCAGAACACUGGAAGCAGACUGCAUGUGCCUCUCUGUAAAUAAUAUCUAAUUCAAUAAACCAUUAAUAUUCCUGA